rnacentral:rRNA from 1 species
CAGUCGCCGCGGUAAUACGUAGGGUGCGAGCGUUAAUCGGAUUUACUGGGCGUAAAGCGUGCGCAGGCGGCCCGUUAAGACAGGUGCGAAAUCCCUGGGCUCAACCUAGGAAUUGCGCUUGCGACCGGCGGGCUCGAGUGCGGUAGAGGGGGGUGGAAUUCCUGGUGUAGCAGUGAAAUGCGUAGAGAUCAGGAGGAACACCGAUGGCGAAGGCAGCCCCCUGGGCCUGUACUGACGCUCAUGCACGAAAGCGUGGGGAGCAAACAGGAUUAGAUACCCGAGUAGUCCCUGUCUCUUAUAC